GAUGAACGCUAGCGACAGGCUUAACACAUGCAAGUCGAGGGGCAGCGGGGGCGUAGCAAUACGCCUGCCGGCGACCGGCGCACGGGUGAGUAACACGUAUGCAACCUGCCCGUCACAGGGGGAUAAGCGGAAGAAAUUCCGUCUAAUACCGCGUAGCACCUGCGGAGGGCAUCCUCUGCAGGUUAAAGAGUUUCGGUGACGGAUGGGCAUGCGGCGCAUUAGCUAGUUGGCGGGGUAACGGCCCACCAAGGCGACGAUGCGUAGGGGUUCUGAGAGGAAGGUCCCCCAAACUGGUACUGAGACACGGACUAGACUCCUACGGGAGGCAGCAGUGAGGAAAAUUGGUCAAUGGGCGCGAGCCUGAACCAGCCAAGUCGCGUGAGGGAAGACGGCCCUACGGGUUGUAAACCUCUUUUGUCGGGGAGCAAAUGCGCCACGUGUGGCGCUGCGAGAGUACCCGAAGAAAAAGCAUCGGCUAACUCCGUGCCAGCCGCCGCAGUAA
rnacentral:rRNA from 1 species